rnacentral:rRNA from 1 species
AUUGAACGCUGGCGGCAGGCCUAACACAUGCAAGUCGAGCGAGCGGCGGACGGGGGAGUAAUGUCUGGGAAACUGCCUGAUGGAGGGGGGUAACUACUGGAAACGGUAGCUAAUACCGCAUACCCUCAGAUGUGCCCAGAUGGGAUUAGCUAGUAGGUGGGGUAACGGCUCACCUAGGCGCCGAUCCCUAGCUGGUCUGAGAGGAUGACCAGCAACACUGGAACUGUGACACGGUCCAGACUCCUACGGGAGGCAGCAGUGUGGAAUAUUGCACAAUGGGCGCAAGCCUGAGGCAGCCAGGCCGCGUGUGUGAAGAAGGCCUUCGGGUUGUAAAGCACUUGCAGCGGGGAGGCGUUACCCGCAGAAGAAGCACCGGCUAACUCCGUGCCAGCAGCCGGGGUAAGUC